rfam:Actinobacteria bacterium OK006 ctg26, whole genome shotgun sequence.
AUAUCCCAGCCACCCACACACACGCACGGCAGGAGCGGGGGACCCAGGUAAGCCGCCGAUCCGGACACCGGAACGGCUAGGGGUGAAGUCGCACACACCGUGCGGCCGGGCAGCUCCCGCCCGAACCCGACAGCUCACCUCGCAGGCGCCGGAGAGGAAUU